rnacentral:rRNA from 1 species
AUGUACGGCCAUAGAUACUGGAAAGAACGGGAUCCCGUCCGCUCUCCCCUAGUUAAAGCAGUGAUCGGCGGAUUAGCAGUUGGGUCGGUGACGACCAGCGAAUACCCGCUGCUGUACGUU